GUUUGGACGUCAUCAGCAGACGGGGAGUGGAUGGGGCUCCAUGGUUUCUUUGAAGACGGUUCCUGUCUGCUGCUGGUUGCCUGAGGGUGACCUAUGAGCGUGGUCCUGAGGGUCACAGGAUGGGAGGGUUUCUGUGUGGAUGCAGAGAGCAGGUUUAAUUCAACCAGCCACCAAAUACAACACAGCCUCUCGGACCAGGAAAUGAGUUGCAGGCAACAGGAGCAGGUCCCUGAAGGGCUGUGCCAUGGGGGCGUCUCCAUCAUCUCCAGUCUGCUCCCACGCAGCCAUCACAGAGAAUCACUGCCAUGGACAGGCUCUGAAGGCCAGCAUUGGGCACCUCACUGGCUCCCAGGCCUAGGUCGCUGGAUGACCCCCCCCCUUUUAUAGGCCAGGGCAGCUUAGCAAGCUUAGGUGCUCUCAAUUCAAGUCCUAAAGGCAGAGGCUCUUCUGCCCCAGGGCAUCUAUUCAAUCUGGAUGAAAGGAACAAGUCAGAAACCGUCAGACUUGUUUUUCCUGUGGAACUGAAAUCUUCCCUGUUCUUCACUGCAAGGAAAUGUACAUUUUUCUAAUGUGCAAUUCUCAAACCCAAAUGUGAAGUGUUAUUAUUACCGAGAACCGUGGGUGGUCUCUGCGGGGUUCAAACCAGCGGCACUCAUGGCGCACGAGCAGAAUCACCGAGGACUCCAGUCAGAAGCAGAUAGCCCUUCUUUCCCUCUCAUUUGAGCCAUAGACUCACACUUGGAUAAAGCAGGUCAACAAAUCAAUAAAUGUCAUUUUCUCAUUUGGCCAAACUCCAAGUUCCAGCUUCCAGGCAUUAGGCUCAACCGGAUAUAAAAACACCAAACAGCCUGAUAGGACAAUUCCAUGUUCCAUUGUGAGAAACGACCAGCGUCCCCUUUCCACCCCUUGUCUUAUUCAUGA
rnacentral:lncRNA from 1 species